UUGGGAUAUUUAUAGUCAUGCCUCGGAGUUCAAAGCAUAAAUCGCAUAAGCAGAGUAAGUAUAGUCCGAAGGAGUGUAGGGAUUAUUCGUACUCGGAUUCAGAUUCCGAAGUGAAAACCAAGGAGAAAGAGAAAGAGAGGAGUAGUAAGGAGGAUAGUCUGGCUAGGGUUUCUAAGGAUUCAAUCCAUUCGGGUUCUGGUGAGAAGAGAAAACAUUCUUCCCAAUCUAAGGAAGGCAAGGAUGGUAAAGAUCUAAGUGGGUAUGGAAAUGGUGAUGCUUCGGAGGAGUAUGUUUCUUCUAAGCGUCGGAAAGAGAAGGUAGAGGUAGGUAGUGGUGGUGCUGAUAGAUGGAAUGGUGCUGCUGAUAAUGCAUUGAAGGGAGAAAGUUUGAAAAUUGAUGCAGACAAGGGUUCUAAGGGGAAGGAGACAAAGAGCUCAAGUGAUUCCAAGAGUAAAAGCAGUAAGAAAGAAGGUAAUGUUGCCUCAUUGGUGGAAAAAGAAGAGAGUAAGAGUGGAAGAGUGGAGUCAAAGAGGAAAUCUGAGAAGGAUUCUGGUCGAAAAGAAGGCAAGGAUUCCAAGGAGGUGAAGGAAAAGGAGAGAGGGUCAGACAGGGAAAAGAAGGGUCACGAGAGUAAGCGUGAUGAUGCUGACAAUGUGAAGAAACAAGGGUCUCAAUCUGGUGAUGUUACUGAAGAAAAGCAGAACAAAAAAGGUAGAGAAACUGCUGAGUGGUCUAUCCAAAAUGAGGCACCAAAUGUUGACUUGGACAAAGAUGCUGAGAAAAGGGCCCGGAAGCGAAGAGAAAUCCCUGGAGAUCGGGAUAAAUACGACGAUGACAUAAAUGAGGGCGAUGAAAGACGGUUAUCUUCGAGGUCUGAACGUACUAAAGGUGAAAAACAGCGACAUGAGAAACAUAAAGAGUACAAGGAAGACGUCGAUAAAGAUGACAGGCACAAGGAUGAUAGGUAUCGCGAGGACGUUGAUAAGGACAGAAAACGGCGUGAUGAUAAAUAUCGAGAAGAUAGUGAUAGAGAUAAUAGACGUAGAGAUGACAAGUACCUGGAAGAUGUUGACAGAGAUAGCAGACGCCGGGAUGACAAAUAUCGUGAUGAUGGUGACAGGGAUAAUAGGCGCAAGGAUGGUAGAUAUCGAGAAGAUGAUGAAAGAGACAGUCGUCGUAGGGAUGACAAAUAUCGUGAAGAUGGUGACAAUGAUAACAGGCAUGGGGAUGAUAAGUAUCGAGAGUAUGGGGAGAAAGAUGGUCAUCAUGAUGAAGAUAGAUAUCAUGAAGAGGGUGAAAGAGAUGA
rnacentral:misc_RNA from 1 species